GCCGAGCCCGGGCCUUCCC
rnacentral:miRNA from 1 species